GGUGACCUGCGGAAGGUCAUUACUGAGUGAGGGCCCUCUGGGUCCAACCUCCCACCCGUGUUUAUUGUACCUUGUUGCUUCGGUGCGCCCGCCUCACGGCCGCCGGGGGGCUUCUGCCCCCGGGUCCGCGCGCACCGGAGACACUAUUGAACUCUGUCUGAAGAUUGCAGUCUGAGCAUAAACUAAAUAAGUUAAAACUUUCAACAACGGAUCUCUUGGUUCCGGCAUCGAUGAAGAACGCAGCGAAAUGCGAUAACUAAUGUGAAUUGCAGAAUUCAGUGAAUCAUCGAGUCUUUGAACGCACAUUGCGCCCCCUGGUAUUCCGGGGGGCAUGCCUGUCCGAGCGUCAUUGCUGCCCUCAAGCACGGCUUGUGUGUUGGGCUCCGUCCCCCCGGGGACGGGUCCGAAAGGCAGCGGCGGCACCGAGUCCGGUCCUCGAGCGUAUGGGGCUUUGUCACCCGCUCUGUAGGCCCGGCCGGCGCCAGCCGACAACCAAUCAUCCUUUUUUCAGGUUGACCUCGGAUCAGGUAGGGAUACCCGCUGAACUUAAGCAUAUCAAUAAGCGGAGGAAAAGAAACCAACAGGGAUUACCUCAGUAACGGCGAGUGAAGCGGUAAGAGCUCAAAUUUGAAAGCUGGCUCCUUCGGGGUCCGCAUUGUAAUUUGCAGAGGAUGUUUCGGGAGCAGCCCCCAUCUAAGUGUCCUGGAACGGACCGUCAUAGAGGGUGAGAAUCCCGUAUGGGGAUGGGGUGUCUGCGCCCAUGUGAAACUCCUUCGAC
rnacentral:rRNA from 1 species